GUUGGUGCAUGGCUGUCGUCAGCUCGUGUCGUGAGAUGUUGGGUUAAGUCCCGCAACGAGCGCAACCCUUGUCCUGUGUUGCCAGCGCGUAAUGGCGGGGACUCGCAGGAGACUGCCGGGGUCAACUCGGAGGAAGGUGGGGACGACGUCAAGUCAUCAUGCCCCUUAUGUCCAGGGCUUCACACAUGCUACAAUGGCCGGUACAGAGGGCUGCGAUACCGUGAGGUGGAGCGAAUCCCUUAAAGCCGGUCUCAGUUCGGAUCGGGGUCUGCAACUCGACCCCGUGAAGUCGGAGUCGCUAGUAAUCGCAGAUCAGCAACGCUGCGGUGAAUACGUUCCCGGGCCUUGUACACACCGCCCGUCACGUCAUGAAAGUCG
rnacentral:rRNA from 1 species